rnacentral:rRNA from 1 species
AACGAACGCUGGCGGCAGGCUUAACACAUGCAAGUCGAACGCCCCGCAAGGGGAGUGGCAGACGGGUGAGUAACGCGUGGGAAUAUACCGUACCCUACGGAACAACAGUUGGGAAAGACUGCUAAUACCGUAUACGCCCUACGGGGGAAAGAUUUAUCGGGGUAUGAUGAGUCCGCGUUGGAUUAGCAAGUUGGUGGGGUAAAGGCCUACCAAGGCGACGAUCCAUAGCUGGUCGGAGAGGAUGAUCAGCCACAUUGGGACUGAGACACGGCCCAAACUCCUACGGGAGGCAGCAGUGGGGAAUAUUGGACAAUGGGCGCAAGCCUGAUCCAGCCAUGCCGCGUGAGUGAUGAAGGUCUUAGGAUUGUAAAGCUCUUUCACCGAUGAAGAUAAUGACGGUAGUCGGAGAAGAAGCCCCGGCUAACUUCGUGCCAGCAGCCGCCGCAG